UGCUGCCAGCAUCGCGUCGAAUAGCAUCGCCGCCUGCCCGGCCGGUGCCCGCCGCCGCCUCCGAUUCGCCCCACUGCUCGCCGCCUUCGCCGCCGCAGCCCUGCCGGCCCCGCCGCUCUCUGCUUAGCGUCCGUCGCCCGUGUCUCGGUCUUCUCCCCUUCCGCUGCCUGCGCGGUCCGCACCUCCUGAGCUGCCCGCCCGCGCCGUCGUCGCCGUCGUCGCGCUCCUUCGCCGCGCCGGCUCUCUCAGCGUCGAGGGCACGCUAGCUCCUCCUCCUAGAUCGUUUUCUGGGUGGCGAAGUGGGCUGAUAUCCGGUGCUGAUUUUGAGUUUUGGUCAUGGGUGCUGCUGAUGACUCGAGAGAUGCGGCGUUGGACGAGAUGGAGGUGGACGGUGGUGAGCGGCACCGGGACAGGGAGAGAAGGGACAGGCACAGGCGGGACGAGAAGGAGCACCAUGGCAGUGGCAGAAGGGACAGGGAGAGGGAGAAAGAGAAGGAUAAGGACGAUAGGAGGAGGGAGAAGGAUGACGGCAAGCUUAGGGAUAGGGAAAGGGAGAGGGAGAGAGACAAGGAUAAGGAUAGCAAGCACAGGGACAGGGAUAAGGAGCCAGAGCGUGAUCGUGGCCGUGACCGCGACCGAGGCAAGGAUCGGGAGAGGGACCGAGGCAAAGAUCGGGAGAAGGAACCAGAGCGGGAGCGGGAUAAGGAAAGGGAACGGAGGGACAGGGACAAGGAGAGAAACCGCAACAGAGACAAGGACAAGGAUAGGGCGGAGAGGGGAGACAGGGAGAGGGAGGAUAGAGAGCGUGAGAAGUCAAGGGGGAAGGGUCGUGGAGAAGAUGAUGUAGAUCUGUCCAAGGGCAAUGAGGGGGAUCAUAAGCCGGGAGUUGAUGCUCCAGGGGAGGCUGAGCAGCCCGCAACCGCUGAGCUCAGAGAUCGCAUUGCGAGGGCAAAGGAAGAAAGAUUGAAGGACAAAAAGGAAGGAGGAAUACUGGACAGUGACGAUGGGGCUUCUGAGAUACUGUCAUGGGUGGGAAAGAGUCGUAAACUUGAUGAGAAAAGGGAAGCUGAAAAGGAGAAAGCAUUACGUCUUGCACGAGCAUUGGAGGAACAGGAUAAUAUAUUGGCAGAUAAUGGUGACGAUGACGAUGAGGAAGAGGAAGAUAAACAAGUUGGAGAUCACUUAUCUGGUGUUAAGGUUCUUCAUGGCCUUGAUAAGGUAUUGGAAGGUGGUGCAGUUGUCAUGACUCUCAAAGAUCAGAGUAUUCUUGCAGAUGGGGAUAUCAACGAAGAGGCCGAUAUGCUUGAGAACAUAGAGAUUGGUGAGCAGAAACAAAGAGAUGAAGCUUAUAAGGCUUCAAAGAAGAAAGGAACUUAUGAUGACAAGUUCAAUGAGGAUUCAUCGUCAAAGAAAUCUAUACUCUCACAUUAUGAUGACCCUAUGGAAAAUGAGGGAGUGAUGCUUGAUGAAGGUGGACGUUUCACUGGUGAAGCAGAAAAGAAGCUAGAAGAGCUCCGGAAAAGGAUCGAAGGUGGUCAUGUCCAGAAAAAGACAGAAGAUCUUACUUCCACCACGAAGGUGUCAACAGACUAUUUUACCCCUGACGAAAUGCUUCAGUUUAAAAAACCAAAGAAAAAGAAAUCCCUUAGGAAGAAGGAGAAGCUGGACCUGGAUGCACUUGAAGCAGAAGCGAUUGCUUCUGGAUUGGGGGCAGCUGAUCGUGGGUCCAGGAAGGAUACUAGGAGACAAUCUGCAAGGGAGGAAGAGCAGAAGGCUGAUGCUGAAAAGAGAAGCAGUGCAUAUGAAGCUGCCAUUGCAAAAGCUGAAGAGGCAUCGAGAGCAUUGCGUCCGGAGAAAAUUACGCCUUCUAAACCAGCUGAAGAAGAAGAACUUGUUUUCGGUGAUGAUUACGAAGAUCUGCAGAAAUCUCUGGAGCAAGCAAGAAAGUUAGCCCUAAGGAAGCAGGAAGAGGCUGCUGGUCCACUGGCUGUAGUUGAACUGGCUACUGCAACCAAGGGCCAAGAGGAUACAGAUGCCAUAGAAGGAGAUUCACAGCAAAAUAAGGUUGUUAUCACAGAGAUGGAAGAGUUCGUGUGGGGACUACAACUGAAUCAAGAAACACGCAAGCCAGAAGAAGGUGAUGUGUAUAUGGAUGAAGAUGAUGAUGGCAUGCCUUCAGAUAAUCUUGUCAAAGAUGAAACAAAUGGGUUGGCAGCAAUGGAAGAGGAUGCUCAUGCAGAAAAACCAGUAAAGGUUGAGGAGGAAGAAGUCAAACCAGAUGAGGUUAUACAUGAGGUUGCAGUGGGUAAGGGUUUGGCUAGUGCUUUGAAGAUUCUUAAGGAGCGAGGAAGCCUCAAUGAGGGCACGGAUUGGGGAGGCAGAACUACUGACAAGAAAAAGAGCAAGCUUGUGGGUGUCGAGGAUGGACCUAAAGAUAUUCGUAUUGAAAGAAUGGAUGAAUUUGGCCGAGUGAUGACACCUAAGGAGGCAUUCCGGGAUCUUUCACACAAAUUCCAUGGUAAGGGUCCAGGAAAAAUGAAACAAGAAAAACGGCAGAAGAAGUACCAGGACGAGAUGAAAACCAAGCGGAUGAAAUCUUCUGACACACCAUUAAUGGCCGCGGAAAAGAUGAGAGAGGCCCAAGCUCGCAACCAAACACCAUACCUCAUUUUAAGUGGCAAUGCAAAAACAAGUCAAGCAAGUGACGCUAGCAGCUUUGCUACCGUGGAGAAAGAGCACCCUGGGAGCCUGACGCCCAUGCUUGGGGACAAAAAGGUCGAACACUUUCUGGGCAUCAAACGAAGUGCCAAGCCUGGAAGCUUGCCUCCGCCAGUCCCAAAGAAACCGAAGAACUGAACCUGCAGUGGUCGUAGACUGUGAGUACUACUAGCAACCAGUGGUAGCCUUUUUGCUCAUCUGCUGCUGCAGGCAUGGAGCAGAUUUUUGUUCGAGACACCGACAGCAACAGCGCCACAUGCCAACACCACAUGCCGAGGCUACCCCCAGUACACUGGAAAUUGAUACGUGUGCAUAUGCUUGGCCUGCCAAACGCAGAUACUGAACCCCAGAGGUGACGGAUCUAGAUAUUGUUCCUGCGACACCCGGUUUCUGUUUUGACUAAACUGUAGUUUUGAUGUUAUUCGGUGUUCGGUUGCGGGCAGCAUUUAAGUGUCUGCAUUAGGGUUGACAAACUUAUGUGGUGCCCCAAAGACAACUUAAAGUGGAAGCAUGUGGCAAGUAGUACUUACCAUGGUCUUGAUUGGUAGAUCUGCGGGAGCUACCUUCCCUGGUUUCCCUACCCUAGCAGUGGUCUCCAGGAAGGCGCCCAACAUCCCAGACCGAUGUACCUCGUGCACAAGCACAAACAAGCUAAACUUUUCCGGAAUGAUGAAAUAUCCUACCCAGCCA